CCUCCCCGGCCGGCCCCGCUCCAGCCCCACGUCCGCUGCGCAGACGCGGAACUGUCGGGGCGAGCGCGGGGCGCGGGCUCAUCCCCACCUGGCCCGGGGCCUGCCGGAGGCGCGGGGGUGGGGCUCCCGGGCUCUGGCUAGGGUGGGGCCGGGGACCUUGUGCCCUGAAGGUAGGAGGAGGGCGUCCUCGCCCGGGCCUGGCUCCGGGACUCCCCGGCGAGGCUUUCCGCGGGGACAGGGGUCUGGGCAGAAGCCACCGGGUGAACCGUGAACUUCAGAGGAGCCACAGCGGGGCUGGAAGGCGGCCGACCCACCUCGCCAAGAGAAAAAGCCAGACAAAUCAUGACAUCCUUCAGAUUAUGUGGCUGCCAGAGGACCAGGAAUAGUUGCUGCUGUGGCAAGCUGAGAUUUCAUAAUUUACUCAAGACUUCCCUGGAUAUGAAGAGAGAGAAAUAUGAUGUCUAGAGCUGCUGCAGCUCAGGCAAAGACCUUGUCUGAGAAUGAAGCCAACACACAGGGAAAAGCAGAACAAAACUAAGAGAUGAAGAGACCAAGUCCUGGUAAUGCAGUCGUCAUGGUGGCAUCAAGCCACAGGUGAACUCAUCACUGCCCUAAACGUCUGUUGGAUGGUUCUGGGCUGUUUUCUACAUUGAUGACAACUCUCCAACUUCUGCUGACCUCAUAUGCAGUUAACAAUGUCAUUCUCCGCUGGUCUUGUGAUCAGAGCUUGGCUUAAGGACACCGGCUUCCUCAUCCUGACCUUCCCAUUGUUGACUGAAAAAAAAACGCACAACCUAAAAGUUGAGAAUUGUGUUUACUCAGCAAACUUUCUGAGGACUUCACGCCCAGGAGACAGCCUCUCAGAUAGCUCUAAGGGACUGCUCUGAAGAGGUAAGGGAGGAGCCAGGAUAUAUAGGAGGAUUUGCAACAAAGACCAAGAAGUCGGAACACCAAAAGAUUACUGUUAAGGCAAAUCAGAUAUCACAAGUUAAGGAAUUUAGCAUUUUUCUACGUAUGGAAAGGUACAGGGUCUGGGCUCACUGAAGUCAUCCCUUCGGUGU